AUUGAACGCUGGCGGCGUGCUUAACACAUGCAAGUCGAUCGGUAACAGGUGUAGCAAUACAUGCUGACGAGAGGCGGACGGGUGAGUAAUGCUUGGGAAUCUGCCUAUUAGUGGGGGACAACCCGGGGAAACUCGGGCUAAUACCGCAUACGCUCUACGGAGGAAAGCCGGGGACCGCAAGGCCUGGCGCUAAUAGAUGAGCCCAAGUCGGAUUAGCUAGUUGGUAGGGUAACGGCCUACCAA
rnacentral:rRNA from 1 species